rnacentral:lncRNA from 10 species
UGCCAGGUUUGUAUGCUCAUUGUGCAGCAAUGGACCAAUACACUGAGGCAGCAGGGUUUACAGCCGAGAAUGAGUUUAAUAAUCACAAGGCCUUUGAACUAGGAAAUGAGAGGAAAUCUCAAGCCACAAAUUUGCUCCAUGAAGGGGUCCUUUAAGGAGACUGUGGAGGAUGAGAAGCUGAAAAAUUUGGAUUGUUGAUUGGUCAGGGUAAGGGGGAUGUAAUCAUCAGGAUGUUGAAACUGCAUUCCUCCAUGAGUCAGUUUCUUGCUAGGUCGUUCAGAGCAGCUGGCAUCACUAGUUUUGUUGGUAUGUGGAACCUAAAGAAUAAAUUCAAAAGCAAAGAUUAUCAUCUCACAAUGCCUUAGAUUUUAUCUAUGGAACAGAAAAGGAACAAAAAGUCUUGUGACAAGGGCUACCUUAUACUGGGGUAGUAAGCAGUGACCAGUUACAAGGAAGAGGACGAAAGGGCAAGCUGGCUUAAUGAUUAGUGCUGAUUGUGCUGCCAGCUUAGGUGAGCUUUAUUGUUUUCCUUAAUCAACUUUGGCAGCACCACUGGUGUAGUGGUAAUCAUGCAAGAGUCUCUUAAUCAAUUUUAUAAAGUUAUCUUGGCGAUGGUUUCAUUCUUGUUGAUCAAAUGUAUUGUGAUACGUUCUUUCCAUUAAGUUUUUAGAUAUUUUUACUUUGUCUUUCAAAUUUACAUGCCCCAAGCAUUUAGGAUAUCAACUUACCAUAUUGAAAUAAAAAACACUGUAUUAACGAGAGAGUGAGAACAUGGCAUUCAACUAAACUUUUAUGAUUCCUUGUAUUUAUUAUGUUUCAAAGGGAAGUUGGCUCUUAUUCCUUCCUCCCAUAGAGUUGAUGUUUCUUGUUUACCAAAGGAGCACGGAUGACAACUAUUCUCUUCUUUGUUUUUGGUAGAUUGAAGGGCAGGUAGUGUUCUUUCACAUACACUUACAGCAGGAAAUACAUUAAGGAUUUCUUUGGCAAUAUGAGUAGCUUCUUAUAAUGUCCAUCUCACAAAAUACAGUCCUGUGGGAAUUAUUGUUUUCAUUCCUUAUUUCCUUAUGUAUCUAUUCAUUAAAUUAUUACUCAAUAGCUAACGUCAAGUGGAGUACUGGGUGCAGGAUACUAAACAGAGGACUAGCUAAACACACAGCAAGCUUAAUAAUGAAUAAACAUACACUUAAGGAAGUCUAGGGAAAGCCUGAAAGACAAUUUUUUAAAGGACUGGAACUUUAUAAGGAAAUAGGUAAUGAAGGCAAAUAUAAUUAUAGUGGAUACAUAAGAAAUAAUGGUAUUCAAUUGUAAAUUCUUGAUAUGAUCACUGAUACUGGAGUUAGAGAAACUGGGUUUAGGAUCAAUGUUAGACUUGCAACUCCUACUAAAGAUCUCUGCAACCUCCUCUGCUGGAGUUCCAGUGUUUCUGUCUCUCAGAGUGAAGGGCCAUGGAACCUCAGAAGGACUUCUGAGCUCUGAGAUAACAUACUUGCAGGGCUGGCCUCAAACUACUGAGUUCAAGCAAUCCUCCUAUCUCAGCCUCCUAAGUAGCUUGGAUUCCAAGUGCACACCACCAUGCCCAGCUUCAAGAUUUUUUUUUGCCCUUUCCAUUUGUCAUAUGUUAAUCAAUAUGUUGCUUUCCUCCUUGUCAUUAUUCCUUGUUAACUGACAGUGAUCUCAUGAUCACCUUGAAAUGUUUUUUAAUAUCCCCCAAGCAUUUAAAUAAUUAUUUACUAUGUCCUCACAGGUUAGAUCAUUCUUUUUCUCCUUCAGAUAAUUGUGCCAGGCUGUAGAGUUUAAAGAUCCA